UACGGAGGGUGCGAGCGUUGUCCGGAAUCACUGGGCGUAAAGGGCGCGUAGGUGGCCCGUUAAGUGGCUGGUGAAAUCCCGCGGCUCAACUGCGGGGCUGCCGGUCAUACUGGCGAGCUAGAGCACGGUAGGGGCAGAUGGAAUUCCCGGUGUAGCGGUGGAAUGCGUAGAGAUCGGGAGGAACACCAAUGGCGAAGGCAGCUCGCUGGGACGUGACUGACGCUGAGACGCGAAAGCGUGGGGAGCAAACAGG
rnacentral:rRNA from 1 species